UGGGUUUAACUGAAAAUAGCCAAAACGACUUUUUUUGGCAUUUUCCAUUUUAUUUAUAAAUUUUAAACUCGUUUUUGAAAUUUUUUUUAUGAAAAUAGGUAAGUAAAUGUGUCUUCAAUGUUUUCGAAAAUUAAAAACUGAAAAUGACUUGAAAACAGCAAGGAGAACAGGCCCUAGUUUUUCUUACCAAUCAUAUGUGAACGCGUACAAAGUAGGAGAAUAAAUAUAUAAAAUACCCAAGUUUGAGCAAAUCCCAACUCCCAAGGGUGUAUGCAAAAGGUUAUGAGAUGAGGCCUGUAAGGUGUAUGCAAAAGGUUAUGACACAAGGCAUGUACGGUGUUCCUUGUUUCUUUUUGGGUUGGGAUGUUGGGAGAAGGGUAAAAGAAAGCAAGCUAAGGGGUUGGGUCCAAAUUUACCCUUGUUGAGUUACAACAGGCCAGACAGAGAAGGGAAGGGAAGGGAAGGGAAACAGGGGAAGAUGUUGAGUUGUACGCUGCUUGCAGAACAGUAUUGCUGAAAUUGGAUUAACAAAUGUUCAUUGCUUUGGACCGUAUUUCUGCAUAAUUGAGUUAUAUGCACCGUGCUCGCCCAAUGGUGGUUUUGCUGAAUAAUCAUUGUGGAAGCUUGGAAAUAAAGGAAAAUUAAUCAACAAAUCAUUAAAUUGAGUAAUCAUCCACAUAUGAUGCAAAAAUCACUAUUUCACAGCCUCUUCAAAUCCUCCUAAAGAGGUGUGCUGGCAGGUUCCUGAUAAAGCUAAUACUAGGAAAAAUAUCAAGUAUUCCGAGAGAAACGAUUGUGCUUUUCAAAUAUCAGGUGAUGUACAACAACCUUCCAACUCUAGAAGACCAGAUUCUCAACAUUUCACUAAUGAGCUAAGAGCUAUU
rnacentral:lncRNA from 1 species